UUCCGGUUGAUCCUGCCGGAGGUCACUGCUAUUGGGGUCCGGCUAAGCCAUGCGAGCGGAGGGUGCGGUCGAAAGAUCGUGGCCCCGCACACGGCUCAGUAACACGUAGUCAACCUACCCUUGGGACGGGGACAACCUCGGGAAACUGAGGCUAAUCCCCGAUAGGCGGGGGACGCUGGGAUGCCUCCUCGCCCAAAGCUCCGGCGCCCGAGGAUGGGACUGCGGCCUAUCAGGCUGUUGGUGGUGUAACGGACCACCAAACCUACGACGGGUACGGGCGAUGGGAGUCGGAGCCUGGAGAUGGGGACUGAGACAAGGCCCCAGGCCCUACGGGGCGCAGCAGGCGCGAAAACUCCGCAAUGCGCGCAAGCGUGACGGGGGGACCCCAAGUGCCGUUGGUCUUUCGAUCGACGGUUUUUAGGAAGUCUAAGAAGCUUCCAGAAUAAGGGCUGGGCAAGACUGGUGCCAGCCGCCGCGGUAACACCAGCAGCCCAAGUGGUGGCCACGAUUAUUGGGCCUAAAGCGCUCGUAGCCGGAUCAAUAAGUCCCUUGUGAAAUCGGGCCGCCCAACGGUUCGGCGUGCAAGGGAUACUGUUGGUCUUGAGGCCGGGAGAGGUCGGAGGUACUCCUGGGGUAGCGGUGAAAUGCUCUAAUCCUAGGGGGACCACCAGUGGCGAAGGCGUCCGACCAGAACGGACCUGACGGUGAGGGGCGAAGGCUAGGGGAGCGAACGGGAUUAGAUACCCCGGUAGUCCUAGCUGUAAAGCAUGCGGGCCAGGUGUCUAGCGCUCCUUGAGGGCGCUAUGUGCCGGAGGGAAGCCGUUAAGCCCGCCGCCUGGGAAGUACGGUCGCAAGGCUGAAACUUAAAGAAAUUGGCGGGGGAGCACCACAAGAGGUGGGACCUGCGGUUCAAUUGGAUUCAACGCCGGG
rnacentral:rRNA from 1 species